rnacentral:rRNA from 1 species
AUUGAACGCUGGCGGCAUGCCUAAUACAUGCAAGUCGAACGAUCCCUUCGGGGAUAGUGGCGCACGGGUGCGUAACGCGUGGGAAUCUGCCCUUGGGUUCGGAAUAACGUCGGGAAACUGACGCUAAUACCGGAUGAUGACGUAAGUCCAAAGAUUUAUCGCCCAGGGAUGAGCCCGCGUAGGAUUAGCUAGUUGGUGGGGUAAAGGCCCACCAAGGCGACGAUCCUUAGCUGGUCUGAGAGGAUGAUCAGCCACACUGGGACUGAGACACGGCACAGACUCCUACGGGAGGCAGCAGUAGUGAAUAUUGGACAAUGGGGGCAACCCUGAUCCAGCAAUGCCGCGUGAGUGAUGAAGGCCUUAGGGUUGUAAGGCUCUUUUACCCGGGAUGAUAAUGACAGUACCGGGAGAAUAAGCCCCGGCUAACUCCGUGCCAGCCGCCGCAGUAACAC